rnacentral:rRNA from 1 species
GACGAACGCUGGCGGCGUGCUUAACACAUGCAAGUCGAACGGAAAGGCCCUGCUUUUGUGGUGUGCUCGAGUGGCGAACGGGUGAGUAACACGUGAGUAACCUGCCCUUGACUUUGGUAUAACUUCAGGAAACUGGGGCUAAUACAGGACAGGAGCCCCUGCUGCAUGGUGGGCGUUGGAACGUCUCGGCGGUUGGGGUUGGACUCGCGGCUUAUGAGCUUGUUGGUGGGGUAGUGGCUUACCCAGGCUUUGACGGGUCGGCCGCCUGAGAGGGUGAACGGCGACCAUGGGACUGAGGUACGGACCAGAGUGCUACGGGAGGCAGAAGUGGGGAAUAUUGCACAGUGGGCGGAAGCCUGAUGCAGCAGCGCCGCGUGCGGGAUGACGGCCUUCGGGUAGUAAACAGCUUUCGCCUAUGACGAAGCGUGAGUGACGGUAAUGGGUAAAGAAGCACCGGCUAACUACGUG